rfam:Triticum urartu cultivar G1812 contig300124, whole genome shotgun sequence.
GAUGAGCUCAGUUGCGAGAGCUUGUAACCCGAGUGGGGGCAUUAAAGUGAUGUGGACGCUGUUGUAGCGCUGCGGGCCUGGUCUGGAUAUGUUACUGCUGGCCUGCCCGUUCCAAGUUGCGUAGUGGACCGGCUGAGGCCUAUGCGAAAGCUGGGCCUCACGGUCCAUAAUGUGGCAGGCACAGCGUGAGGCUGGCUUCACAGAGCAGCGACAACUGCCCACUUCCAACGGUGGAAGGAUAACGAGCCGCUGCACUCUUAGGCUGCUUGGGCCUCGCAGGCUACUUCAGCGAACCAUCAUUUUC